rnacentral:rRNA from 1 species
GAUGAACGCUAGCGGCAGGCUUAACACAUGCAAGUCGAGGGGCAGCACAGGUAGCAAUACUGGGUGGCGACCGGCGCACGGGUGCGUAACGCGUAUACAAUUUACCUUUUACUAUUGGAUAGCCCAGAGAAAUUUGGAUUAAUACAAUAUAGUAUUAUUGAAUCGCAUGGUUCGAUGAUUAAAGUUUCGGCGGUAAAAGAUGAGUAUGCGUCCUAUUAGCUAGAUGGUAAGGUAACGGCUUACCAUGGCUACGAUAGGUAGGGGUCCUGAGAGGGAGAUCCCCCACACUGGUACUGAGACACGGACCAGACUCCUACGGGAGGCAGCAGUGAGGAAUAUUGGACAAUGGGCGCAAGCCUGAUCCAGCCAUGCCGCGUGCAGGAAGACUGCCCUAUGGGUUGUAAACUGCUUUUAUACAGGAAGAAACC